rnacentral:pre_miRNA from 1 species
CAGAUACUCCCUCCGUCCGGAAAUACUUGUCAUCAAAAUAGAUAAAAAGAGAUGUAUUUAGACAUAUUUUAGUUCUAGAUUUUUUUCUUUUUAUUUAUUUUAAUGACAAGUAUUUUUGGACAGAGGGAGUAUGUU